rnacentral:lncRNA from 1 species
ACUCCUCCUCCUAUUUUUCAUCUUUGAAAGAGUCCAAAUCAAGAAGAAGGAGGCACCUGAUCAACCAUGAAAGAAGGAUCAGCGCAGUACUAGCAUACUGUGCUGAUUUUCUGAAGCAGGACUUCUGAUCGAGAUUCGUGGGCUCGUGUGGACGACUCCUAGAGGUCGGACGCAUGUGCAGCUUGCAACAUCAUCCUCAAGC